UUUUAGCCCAGAUGGAAACGGAAACCCCGCAGUUAUGAAAGUUAGUUUUUCUUGGUGUAAAAGAGCGACUGUAGGAAGCUCCUUUUAUGCCUUAGAAAAACAACUGAAAUAACGAGGAGUUGCAGUGUACAGCUGGAAUUGCU
rnacentral:sRNA from 1 species